rnacentral:rRNA from 2 species
GUUGUAGUCUGGAGAAGUGCUUUCCGUGCUGGACCGUGUACAAGUCUCUUGGAAUAGAGCGUCAUAGAGGGUGAGAAUCCCGUCUUUGACACGGACUACCAGUGCUUUGUGAUGCGCUCUCAAAGAGUCGAGUUGUUUGGGAAUGCAGCUCAAAAUGGGUGGUAAAUUCCAUCUAAAGCUAAAUAUUGGCGAGAGACCGAUAGCGAACAAGUACCGUGAGGGAAAGAUGAAAAGCACUUUGGAAAGAGAGUUAAACAGUACGUGAAAUUGCUGAAAGGGAAACGCUUGAAGUCAGUCGCGUCGUUUGGAACUCAGCCUUGCUUUUGCUUGGUGCACUUUCUGAAUGACGGGCCAGCAUCAAUUUCGACCGUUGGAAAAAGGUUGGGGGAAUGUGGCACCUUCGGGUGUGUUAUAGCCUCUGGUCACAUACGACGGUUGGGAUUGAGGACCGCAGCACGCCGCAAGGCAGGGGAUAUACCCACUUUCGUGCUUAGGAUGCUGGCAUAAUGGCUUUAAACGACCCGUCUUGAAACACGGACCAAGGAGUCUAACAUGCCUGCGAGUGUUUGGGUGGAAAACCCGAGCGCGUAAUGAAAGUGAAAGUUGAGACCUCUGUUGUGGAGGGCAUCGACGCCCGGACCUGACGUUCUCUGAAGGAUCCGCGGUAGAGCAUGUAUGUUGGGACCCGAAAGAUGGUGAACUAUGCCUGAAUAGGGUGAAGCCAGAGGAAACUCUGGUG